CCUACGGGUGGCUGCAGUGAGGAAUAUUGGUCAAUGGACGAGAGUCUGAACCAGCCAAGUAGCGUGAAGGAUGACUGCCCUAUGGGUUGUAAACUUCUUUUAUAUGGGAAUAAAAUGUUCCACGUGUAGGGCUUUGCAUGUACCGUAUGAAUAAGGACCGGCUAAUUCCGUGCCAGCAGCCGCGGUAAUACGGAAGGUCCGGGCGUUAUCCGGAUUUAUUGGGUUUAAAGGGAGCGUAGGCCGCAUGUCAAGCGUGCUGUGAAAUGUCCGGGCUCAACCCGGGCCUUGCAGCGCGAACUGGCGUGCUUGAGUCCGCGGAAAGCAGGCGGAAUUCGUCGUGUAGCGGUGAAAUGCUUAGAUAUGACGAAGAACCCCGAUUGCGAAGGCAGCUUGCUGCAGCGGAACUGACGCUGAUGCUCGAAAGCGCGGGUAUCGAACAGGAUUAGAUACCCUGGUAGUC
rnacentral:rRNA from 1 species